AGCAGUCGUAGUGUCGUUGAACACUGUGUUCGACUCGCGAGGCUGUCGGUAAUACAUCGAAAGGGGUUUAUUAGAGGGGCCCUUGCAAAAACCAGGUGCACGACGCGAUGACGCUAGACCAGGUGCAUCUGCACGGACGGGCACGACGCGAUGACGCUAGAUGAACGCACGCAUCACAACCUUUUUGCCUGGCUUAUUUGUUUCGUUUACAAAAAGAAUGGGAAGCUUGAAUGAAAAGAAAUAAAUUAAUUAAGAUAUCCAGAUUGAAAAAAAAGGACAACAACAUUGAAAUAACCGAGAAAGAAGAGAACGAAAAUGAAAUCAUGUAUUUGCAACUGUAGCGCAGAGCUCAGCAGAGACAAGGGACGGAGUUGAUUAGCGCGACUGAGCCCCGUGUUUCCUUACCAAUCACAGGGCCUUUUGUCAUUAUUAUUUUUAUAAUUAUCAUAUCAUUUUAUAAAAGCCACGAUGCUUGUGGGCAUACUGAAA